rnacentral:rRNA from 1 species
AGUCAAGUGAAUAAGUGCAUCAGGUGGAUGCCUUGGCGAUGAUAGGCGACGAAGGACGUGUAAGCCUGCGAAAAGCGCGGGGGAGCUGGCAAUAAAGCUAUGAUCCCGCGAUGUCCGAAUGGGGAAACCCACUGCAUUCUGUGCAGUAUCCU